UACGUAGGGUGCUAGCGUUGUUCGGAAUCAUUGGGCGUAAAGCGCGUGUAGGCGGUCAGAUAAGUCGAUUGUGAAAUCCCUGGGCUCAACCCAGGAAGUGCAUUCGAAACUGUCUGGCUGGAGAACGGUAGAGGAAGGUGGAAUUCCUAGUGUAGAGGUGAAAUUCGUAGAUAUUAGGAGGAAUACCGGUGGCGAAGGCGGCCUUCUGGGCCGAUUCUGACGCUGAGACGCGAAAGCGUGGGGAGCAAACAGG
rnacentral:rRNA from 1 species